GAAAAAACGGUCACAUCCCAGAUCCAGGAGACCCCGGGCCACAGCGCUGCGGGAGUUAGCACUCAGUGGCUAUGGGAAGAGAAAGAACAGCUUUCCUGGGGGCUGCUCUGGGCCUGGGGUGCUCCUGUGGCCUCUGAUCUCUCAGGGAGCCAUGAAGGAGAUUGGGCUGGAAAAGUCUCUCGGAGGCUCGCUGGGACCCUGAGGGGAAAAGGGCCUUAGGGUGGGUGAGUGGGCAGGAUUUGGAGAAAGUUGCCCCUUGACUUACAGCAAGAAGUGGAAGGAUUAGAAGCCAUUAAUUCCUGGAAUUGUUCUCUGGAGUGUAAGUGACAACAGCUGUAGCUAUCUGCUCAGUGUCUUUCCACAUGGACUCCCCUGUACAAGGGACGCAUGAAUACACACAGCCAAAUGGGGUGCUGCCGAUUCCACGUGGGAGCAAAGACAGGCCUGCCACCAACUGACAGACAGACAGUCCCAAAGCAAUCAUCUGGACACUCGAGAAAAUGGCCUUAGUCCUGAUUCCCCUCUCUCUUACCCAUUCUCAGGCAGGCACAGGCGGAGAGAGGGAG
rnacentral:lncRNA from 1 species